UUUAAGGAUGUCGUCUAUAAAUGUCUAAGUUUAAGUUUCUGCUAGUUUGGCCUCGAAAUGGCUCAAAUAAUUCAGAACAUUAUGUUGCGUAUAGCAGCUCUGAAAUUUGGACAGCCCCAAGUUAUUAACUUUAGAGCCAAAUUCCGACACCUUCGGGUACUUAUCUCAGUCCGAGACCUAAAUGAAAGUUUUAGGCGACGUUCUGAACAUUAAGAAUGUCAAUUUUAUUUAGUGGUCGGACUGUUUUAAGUAAACGGUUUCAAUAGCCGAAAUUGGCUAGAAACCUAGUUUUGGAUUAAUUAAUUAUAGUUAGAUUGUAAUUAAUUCGAGUUAUUAUCGAAAUUGUGUAGACUUGACGAGACGACUACCAAUGGAACCCAAAACUUACGAAACGCGAGAUCGCUAGGUAUUAUCGAAGAUUAUGGAUAGCAAGCGUGUGUUUUUCAGGUACCUAGAUUCUAGACGUAGCUAGAAGUUCGUCUUUAACCGGAAGUUCCUUUGGCUAUGUAAAAUCCCGACUUCCGUAGAUGCUGCAGUAGUAUGAUGUCUGACCAGUGUCGUGGCCUAUUACAGCAGUAAAAUUUUAUAUGGUUUGUAGUUGAUGUCUGUUGUGUACAUGAGGCUGGCUACAAUAGUUAUCACGGAGGUAAAUUCCCGUGAUGUAAUUUCGACAUAGUGGUUUAUGCCGGGCUAAUUCGUUCAUGAUACAGAAACGUUAAGUCUGAGCACGUUGUAUGGUUUUACCACUGUAUAUAAAUGUAUCUUUGUUUAAAUGCUGCGUUUGUAAAGUCAUUGUAUGAUUGUUUAAUUGCGAAAAAGUUUUAGUGAA